rnacentral:rRNA from 1 species
AUAAGCCCAGCACUGAACCUCGUGUCUCCGGAUACCGAGGAAUGUAGUGUUCAGGAGAGAGGUGGUUUGCCUGUCCGGUGAUUGUCCAAGUCCCCAUGAUCGGGGCUAGAGUCCGCAGAGGGUGUCAGGCCCGUAGUGACGCACCGCGACCGUGAACGCUUGAUCUCCUAAGAGUCGGGUUGCUUGAGAGUGCAGCCCUAAGCGGGAGGUAAACUCCUUCUAAGGCUAAAUACCGCCACGAGACCGAUAGCAAACAAGUACCGCGAGGGAAAGUUGAAAAGAACUUUGAAGAGAGAGUUCAAGAGUGCGUGAAACCGUUCAGGGGGUUAAACGGGUGGGCCCUCGAAGGUCGAACGGCAUCUACUCCCGUUACCUGCAUACGAGCCUGCGCUGGGACGAGUCGCAUUCUGCGGCCGCCGAGUGUAGUACGCUUGGGGCGUGCAGGGACCGCUAGUUGGAUGCCUAGUAGGACUCCGCAACCGGCUGGGGUGAUACGGUCGUCAGACGGGUCUUGAGGAGCGGCCUCCUUGUGGGGCUGUCUUUUUGAGAUUCCCGGCGACCACUCGGCCGUUGAGUGCUGCCUCGCUGUUCCUCAUGGAUGGACGAGCGUUUUGACCUUUGCGGGGAGAAGCGUUGUCGGUUCGUUCGAGGCUCCGGUGAGAAGCGCGGAGAGUAGGUCGGGUCCCACCCGACCCGUCUUGAAACACGGACCAAGGAGUCUAACAUGUGCGCGAGUCGUCGAGUUGUACCAAACUCGAAGGCGCAAUGAAAGUAAAGGCUAGGCUUGCCCUAGCUGAGGGGAGAUCCCGUUUCUGCUUCGGUAGCGCGGGCGCAUCCCCGGGGCGUCUAGACUGCGUUGCCAGUCGGACGCACCUAGAGCGUACACGUUGGGACCCGAAAGAUGGUGACCUAUGCCUGGCCAGGACGAAGCCAGGGGA